rnacentral:rRNA from 1 species
AAUAUUGGACAAUGGGCGAAAGCCUGAUCCAGCCAUGCCGCGUGUGUGAAGAAGGUCUUCGGAUUGUAAAGCACUUUAAGUAGGGAGGAAGGGUUGCAGGUUAAUACCCUGCAAGUUUGACGUUACCAACAGAAUAAGCACCGGCUAACGUCGAGCCAGCAGCCGCGGUAAUACGAAGGGUGCAAGCAUAAAUCGGAAUUACUGGGCGUAAAGCGCGGGUAGGUGGUUUGUUAAGUUGGAAGUGAAAGCCCCGGGCUCAACCUGGGAACUGCUUGCAAAACUGGCAAGCUAGAGUACGGUAGAGGGUAGUGGAAUUUCCUGUGUAGCGGUGAAAUGCGUAGAUAUAGGAAGGAACAUCAGUGGCGAAGGCGACUACCUGGACUGAUACUGACACUGAGGUGCGAAAGCGUGGGGAGCAAACAGG